rnacentral:lncRNA from 1 species
AAUUUUCUGAGGAACCGCCAGACGGAUUUCCAGAGUGGUUGUACAAGCCUGCAAUCCCACCAACAAUGGAGGAGUGUUCCUCUUUCUCCACAUCCUCGCCAGCAUCUGCUGUCACCUGAAUUUUUGAUCUUAGACAUUCUGACUGGUGUGAGGUGGAAUCUCAGGGUUGAGAUUUAUUUAACCUAUUUAUAUUUAAUCUACUUAUAAAUAGAUUUAAAAUCUAUUUAUUUUAAUCUGUUACAAUCACUGUGAGUUCAUAUGUUCAUAUACCCUGCCCUAUCCAGAAGAUAAUGUUUUCUUGUAAUCAUCUAACAUCUCUGCAUCUUGUAUUUUUUUCUGCCCUGAUUUCAAAAUGACCUCUGUGUCUUGGCAGGGUAGUAUAGUAUACAAUGUUCCUUUUAGUGCUGAGCAUUCUGUCGUUUACUUUCUUCAUCUUGGCAAGUUGUGAUUCUCUUUGUCAAUCACCAUAUACUUGUAAACAGAUACUUCUCAGAUCAGAGUUCAAAAAUGUGUACAUCUACAGAUAAAAGUCAAAGUCAUUAGGAUUAGGUUUAAUACUAUGUCCACUUAGCAACAUAAUAGGAGCAGUUUCUCUCCAAGGCUUCAAUGGCCUCAAUGGCACAUCUAGUCAUACCUUUUUGGACCAAAAAUGAUGUUUGCUAUGGGUUUGCUUUUGCAAUGUAGUUCAGGACUUGAAACUAAUUUGGAAAGUGAUGGGUUACUCUUCUGAUAUUCAUGACACUAUUUCACUGGCUUCCAUUAUUUUGUCUCAUGGGCUUCAUAGCUCGGUACCAUUGAUAAUUACUUUUAUCUUCUGGUAGGAUGCUUAGUACCGUGUAGAACUAUCAAAGCUAGCCAGUGGCAAUGAAGUUUUCAGAUCCAUAUCUGUUUAAUUUGGCCAUGUACUUUGACUCAAAUAUUUUCGGCAAUAGGUCUUCCUGCCAAGUUCUGUGGGAUAUCAAAGAGUAAUGGCAAUAGCCUAGAUAUUUGUAGAACCUAAUGAAGCAAUGAUUCAAAAAGAAGUGACCCAUUCCUGAAUCUUGGCUUUGUUUGUUUGUCUCUGGCAUCUAAUGGUGGAAUCUUUGCUUUGCUAUAGGAAUAGAUAGAUAGAUAGAUAGAUAGAUAGAUAGAUAGAUAGAUAGAUAGAUGUGUAUGUAUGUGUAUGUAUGUGUGUUUAUCUGUAUAAUACCAAUUUAGGAAAAGGCCAUGAAUUUGUGGAUGAGCAAAGGAGUUCGUGAAAGGAGUGGAGGGGAGAAAAGGAACAGGGAUAUUGUGUAAUUAUACUACAGUUUCAAAAUAAUGAACUUUAUAUUAUAUUAUAUAUGAUAUUUUUGCAUGCAUUUUAAGAAUCUUCUAACAUAGGUUUUCAUAUAUAUAUGAUAUAUAUACAUAUAUACAUGAAAAAUAUAUAUACACACAUAUGUGUAUAUAUACUCAGAAGUUCUUUUACCCUGGACAGAUUUUUCUAGAC